AACGAACGCUGGCGGCAGGCCUAAUACAUGCAAGUCGAACGCACCGCAAGGUGAGUGGCAGACGGGUGAGUAACGCGUGGGGAUCUUCCUUGCAGUACGGAAUAACUCCGGGAAACCGGUGCUAAUACCGUAUACGCCCUUUGGGGGAAAGAUUUAUCGCUGCAAGAUGAGCCCGCGUCGGAUUAGCUAGUUGGUGGGGUAAUGGCCUACCAAGGCGACGAUCCGUAGCUGGUCUGAGAGGACGAUCAGCCACACUGGGACUGAGACACGGCCCAGACUCCUACGGGAGGCAGCAGUAGGGAAUAUUGGACAAUGGGCGAAAGCCUGAUCCAGCCAUGCCGCGUGAGUGAAGAAGGCCUUAGGGUUGUAAAGCUCUUUUGGCGGGGACGAUAAUGACGGUACCCGCAGAAUAAGCUCCGGCUAACUUCGUGCCAGCAGCCGCGGUAACAC
rnacentral:rRNA from 1 species